ACUAGUUCCUCUCUCCACUGACGGCUGCUGGCAAAGAUGCAGGCAGCCUGAGGUUGAUGGCGACAUGGGCAGGUAUCAUUGCAAAUAGCUGCGGCAUUGUAAACAAUGCAGAGUAUCUUGCCAACGACUACUCAUUGACCUUGUUUGGCUCUGGGAGCAAUGAGAUGGUGUCCUGGGUAGCUGAAACUGUGGAAAGCAAAACCGUGGAUAAGGGGGAACUACUAUACUGAAAAUGUACAAAACAGAGAAGAUUUCAUUGAAGAAGUCUGCUGUUUCUGGAAUGGGAAAUUAAGGGAGAGGUUCGUGAAGAAGUGAUUGGGAAAGAGAGCAAGUCUUGGUUGGACAGUGUGAUUCAAUAGAAAUGUGAGGAGGAAAACUGCAAUUAUUUCUGAACCUUCCCAUCAGCCUUGUCUCUGAUAGAAUUGGCCUGUUGUGGACGGGCUUUGUGUAGAUUAGAGAAAGAAGAAGAUGCUCUUUUGGUGUAAUUGUUCAGUUCCACAUGGCCGGGGAGGCC
rnacentral:lncRNA from 1 species